ACAACCCACUGCCUUGAGCACAUUUUAAAAAGCCGGUCAAACCCUCUAGAAGGGUCAGUCCCUAACACAGCAUGGAAAUGAGGGUCUCUGCGCAGUUCCUGGGUCUGCUGAUGCUCUGGCUCCCAAGUGCCAGAUGUGAUAUCCAGGUUACCCAGUCUCCAUCCUCCUUAUCUAUAUCUGUGGGAGAAAAAGUCACCAUGAAUUGUAGAGCAAGCCAGGAUAUUAACAAAUAUAUGUCCUGGUAUCAACAGAAACCAGGGGAGGCCCCUAAGCUACUGAUCUAUUAUGCAUCCACUUUGCAAUCAGGAGUCCCCUCCAGGUUCAGUGGCAGUGGGUCAGGGACAGAUUAUUCCUUUACCAUCAGCAGCCUGGAGCCUGAAGAUGUGGCAGAUUACUACUGUAUGCAAGGUGAUAGCUUUUACCACAGUGAUAGAAGUAAUGACAAAAACCACUCACAGAAGCAGAAGUGAGAGUGUAAGCUGCCCCAGACUCUUAUUUCUUCUCUUAUCUGAUGAUAGCAUUUUCCAUGUGCAGCCAGGAUAUGAGGGUAACCU